rnacentral:rRNA from 1 species
UACGUAGGGUGCAAGCGUUAAUCGGAAUUACUGGGCGUAAAGCGUGCGCAGGCGGUUAUGUAAGACAGAUGUGAAAUCCCCGGGCUCAACCUGGGAACUGCAUUUGUGACUGCAUAGCUAGAGUACGGUAGAGGGGGAUGGAAUUCCGCGUGUAGCAGUGAAAUGCGUAGAUAUGCGGAGGAACACCGAUGGCGAAGGCAAUCCCCUGGACCUGUACUGACGCUCAUGCACGAAAAGCGUGGGGGAGCAAACGAGG